rnacentral:rRNA from 1 species
AGCAGUAGCCGCGGGAAUACGAAGGGGGCUAGCGUUGUUCGGAAUUACUGGGCGUAAAGGGCGCGUAGGCGGCCAUUCAAGUUAGAUGUGAAAGCCCUGGGCUCAACCUAGGAAUUGCAUUUGAUACUGUUUGGCUUGAGUUCGGGAGAGGUGAGUGGAAUUCCCAGUGUAGAGGUGAAAUUCGUAGAUAUCGGAAGGAACACCUGUGGCGAAAGCGGCUCACUGGACCAUAACUGACGCUGAUGCACGAAAGCUAGGGGAGCAAACAGGAUUAGAUACCCGCGUAGUCCCUGUCUCUUAUAA